rnacentral:sRNA from 1 species
UCAUGAGCCGUGUUAACCGGACGAGACAGGGAUGACGAAUGCAGAGGUUUUUCCGGUUUCACUCUGCAGCCGACGAAGAGGCAGCCGAGCGUCUUACCUGUCCGGCUC